CAGUAGCCGCGGUAAUACGUAGGCGGCAAGCGUUGUCCGGAAUUAUUGGGCGUAAAGGGCUCGCAGGCGGUUUCUUAAGUCUGAUGUGAAAGCCCCCGGCUCAACCGGGGAACUGCAUUGGUGACUGCGAAACUGGAGUGCGGCAGAGGGAGAUGGAAUUCCACGUGUAGCGGUGAAAUGCGUAGAGAUGUGGAGGAACACCAGUGGCGAAGGCGACUCUCUGGUCUGUAACUGACGCUGAGGAGCGAAAGCGUGGGGAGCGAACAGGAUUAGAUACCCGCGUAGUCCCUGUCUCUUAUAC
rnacentral:rRNA from 1 species